UACGAGAGGGGCAAGCGUUGUUCGGAAUAACUGGGCGUAAAGGGUUCGUAGGUGGUUUUUUAGGUUAAAAGUUAAAUGGUAAGGCUCAACUUUACUAUCUUUUUAAAACCAAAAAACUUGAGUGUAAAAGGGGAAAGUGGAAUUUCCGGAGUACGGGUGAAAUCGGUAGAUCUCGGAAGGAACUCCAGAGGCGAAGGCGACUUUCUGGUUUAACACUGACACUGAGGAACGAAAGCAUGGGGAGCAAACAGG
rnacentral:rRNA from 1 species